rnacentral:rRNA from 3 species
UGGGGAAUAUUGCACAAUGGAGGGAACUCUGAUGCAGCGACGCCGCGUGAACGAAGAAGGCUUUCGAGUCGUAAAGUUCUUUUAUAUGGGAAGAUAAUGACGGUACCAUAAGAAAAAGCCCCGGCUAACUACGUGCCAGCAGCCGCGGUAAUACGUAGGGGGCUAGCGUUGUCCGGAAUCACUGGGCGUAAAGGGUUCGCAGGCGGAAAUGCAAGUCAGGUGUAAAAGGCAGUAGCUUAACUACUGUAAGCAUUUGAAACUGCAUAUCUUGAGAAGAGUAGAGGUAAGUGGAAUUUUUAGUGUAGCGGUGAAAUGCGUAGUUAUUAAAAAGAAUACCGGUGGCGAAGGCGACUUACUGGGCUCAUUCUGACGCUGAGGAACGAAAGCGUGGGUAGCAAACAGG